AUGGCAUUGCUCGGCCAAUACAUGACAAGCAGUAAGACGGGGCGCUGCACCGACGCGGCGCUGGACGCGCUGUUGCGUCUCAGGCCGGCAAAGCGCUGGAGCGACAAGAUCGGGCAGAACUCGGUGUUGGAGCCCCGCCGUUUCGGCAGGCGGCCAGGGCUUUUCUCAGAGAAACUGUACGGGGCGUAUGGGCGCUCAGGGCUGAUGAGGUCGGUGGAACUCUCGCCGACCGUGAAGGAUGCGGUGCUCAGGUCCCUCAAGAGCAUGUACGGGGGAUUGGACAAAGGAAGCAUGGCGGCGGCGCAACGGGUGGGCCUCGGAGGCAAGGUCGACAACUGGGCGUGGCCAGCCAGCGGUGACGGAAGCAGCAGCGGCACCACGGAGCAUAUCCUCGCUUGCCACAUCGGCACGAGGCUCUUCGAGAUCAAGUACUCGCACGCAGCAUGCCGGACAUCGGCGGCGGACGACAUGAUAGCCGCCUGCCAUUUGUCGUACUACUGCGCAUACCUGGUGGCGGCCACGCCGGGGCUGCUGCCGGACAGCCCGGCCUGGACGGACAAAAGGUACAAAGAAGUGGUGGUAGACGUGCAGGCGGCACUGGGAAAGGACGACGACGGCGCCAGCGAGUCGACGACGCAAAGGUACGAGCGGCUACGCAGGGAGCUGAGCGCGACCACCAGGGACGAGGUGCUGCAGCGCGGCGCCAAGCUUGGGAGCCGCCUGGUGGAGGCGUACGCGGAGAACGAGGCGGCGGCGUGGCGGUUCCUGGCGGAUUUCUGGUCGGAGAUGGUGCUCUUUGUCGCGCCGUCGAAGAACGUCAAGGGCCACGUCGAGGCCAUGGGUCGUGGCGGGGAGUUCGUCACACUAGUGUGGGCGCUGCUCCUGCACGCCGGCGUCACAGACAGGACGGGGACACGUGACGGUACUGGCGUCCCGUAA
rnacentral:rRNA from 1 species